AUUGAACGCUGGCGGCAUGCUUUACACACGCAAGUCGAACGGCAGCAUGGGUGCUUGCACCUGAUGGCGAGUGGCGAACGGGUGAGUAAUGUAUCGGAACAUAUCCGCAAGUGGGGGAUAACGUAGCGAAAGUUACGCUAAUACCGCAUCUUCCCUGAGGGGGAAAGGCGGGGAUCCGCAAGGACCUUUCGCUUACGGAGUGGCCGAUAUCAGAUCAGCUAGUUGGUGGGGUAAAGGCCGACCAAGGCGACGAUCUGUAGCGGGUCGGAGAGGAUGAUCCGCCACACUGGGACUGAGACACGGCCCAGACUCCUACGGGAGGCAGCAGUGGGGAAUUUUGGACAAUGGGGGCAACCCUGAUCCAGCCAUGCCGCGUGAGUGAAGAAGGCCUUCGGGUUGUAAAGCUCUUUCAGCUGGAAAAAAAUCGCAUCACCUAAUACGUGGUGUGGAUGAUGGUACCAGCAGAAGAAGCACCGGCUAACUACGUGCCAGCCGCCGCAGUAAAAC
rnacentral:rRNA from 1 species